UUGGAUUAUACAGAUUAUAUAUUUUCAAAUUCCUCUUUUUGUAAUUGUACAUAACGUUAUCCCUGUUGGUUAAUUUGAGGUGGUCCAAGUUACAGUCUGAGGACGGGAACAGCAACAAGAGUUUAACUUCUGAUUCGUAAUCUACACACUCUACUGGGCAGUUCAUGAAGACAGAGAGAUGUUGUGCCGACCAGAACAGUUCCUCCUACCACACCAGACUCUGCUGUAUAUGAAUGCUUGUCCACUAGCACUGGACAUUUACAACAUUUUGGCGCCAGGGAUCCCUUGAAGAGAAGAUUUUUCAAGGACACCCUCAGAAUUACAACAGAUUUUAAGGCUUAAAAUUAUUGUGGGUGGGAGUAUAAUGAACAUAAUAUGAUUGUUUUAUUUUAUUAUUAUUAUUUAUUUUUUAUUUUUAAAUAGUUCCCAUUUUUUUAAUAGUACAUUUGUUUAAUAAUACAGCACAAUAUAGGGCUAAGUUGCACCAGGUCAGGAAAAAACACAUAAGUUGCAUCUGUGUAUAAGACACAUU